GAACGCUGGCGGCGUGCCUAAUACAUGCAAGUCGAACGCACAGCGAAAGGUGCUUGCACCUUUCAAGUGAGUGGCGAACGGGUGAGUAACACGUGGACAACCUGCCUCAAGGCUGGGGAUAACAUUUGGAAACAGAUGCUAAUACCGAAUGAAACUUAGUGUCGCAUGAUACGAAGUUAAAAGGCGCUUUGGCGUCACCUAGAGAUGGAUCCGCGGUGCAUUAGUUAGUUGGUGGGGUAAAGGCCUACCAAGACAAUGAUGCAUAGCCGAGUUGAGAGACUGAUCGGCCACAUUGGGACUGAGACACGGCCCAAACUCCUACGGGAGGCUGCAGUAGGGAAUCUUCCACAAUGGGCGAAAGCCUGAUGGAGCAACGCCGCGUGUGUGAUGAAGGCUUUCGGGUCGUAAAGCACUGUUGUAUGGGAAGAACAGCUAGAAUAGGGAAUGAUUUUAGUUUGACGGUACCAUACCAGAAAGGGACGGCUAAAUACGUGCCAGCAGCCGCGGUAAUACGUAUGUCCCGAGCGUUAUCCGGAUUUAUUGGGCGUAAAGCGAGCGCAGACGGUUGAUUAAGUCUGAUGUGAAAGCCCGGAGCUCAACUCCGGAAUGGCAUUGGAAACUGGUUAACUUGAGUGCAGUAGAGGUAAGUGGAACUCCAUGUGUAGCGGUGGAAUGCGUAGAUAUAUGGAAGAACACCAGUGGCGAAGGCGGCUUACUGGACUGUAACUGACGUUGAGGCUCGAAAGUGUGGGUAGCAAACAGGAUUAGAUACCCUGGUAGUCCACACCGUAAACGAUGAACACUAGGUGUUAGGAGGUUUCCGCCUCUUAGUGCCGAAGCUAACGCAUUAAGUGUUCCGCCUGGGGAGUACGACCGCAAGGUUGAAACUCAAAGGAAUUGACGGGGACCCGCACAAGCGGUGGAGCAUGUGGUUUAAUUCGAAGCAACGCGAAGAACCUUACCAGGUCUUGACAUCCUUUGAAGCUUUUAGAGAUAGAAGUGUUCUCUUCGGAGACAAAGUGACAGGUGGUGCAUGGUCGUCGUCAGCUCGUGUCGUGAGAUGUUGGGUUAAGUCCCGCAACGAGCGCAACCCUUAUUGUUAGUUGCCAGCAUUCAGAUGGGCACUCUAGCGAGACUGCCGGUGACAAACCGGAGGAAGGCGGGGACGACGUCAGAUCAUCAUGCCCCUUAUGACCUGGGCUACACACGUGCUACAAUGGCGUAUACAACGAGUUGCCAACCCGCGAGGGUGAGCUAAUCUCUUAAAGUACGUCUCAGUUCGGAUUGUAGUCUGCAACUCGACUACAUGAAGUCGGAAUCGCUAGUAAUCGCGGAUCAGCACGCCGCGGUGAAUACGUUCCCGGGUCUUGUACACACCGCCCGUCACACCAUGGGAGUUUGUAAUGCCCAAAGCCGGUGGCCUAACCUUUUAGGAAGGAGCCGUCUAAGGCAGGACAGAUGACUGGGGUG
rnacentral:rRNA from 1 species